GAUGAACGCUAGCUACAGGCUUAACACAUGCAAGUCGAGGGGUAACGAGAGGAAAGCUUGCUUUCCUUGUCGACGACCGGCGCACGGGUGAGUAACGCGUAUCCAACCUGCCCCCAACUAGGGAAUAACCUUGCGAAAGUAAGACUAAUACCCUAUAAUUUCCUCAGAUGUCAUCUGACGAGGAAUAAAGAUUUAUCGGUUGUGGAUGGGGAUGCGUCUGAUUAGCUUGUUGGCGGGGUAACGGCCCACCAAGGCAACGAUCAGUAGGGGUUCUGAGAGGAAGGUACCCCACAUUGGAACUGAGACACGGUACAAACUCCUACGGGAGGCAGCAGUGAGGAAUAUUGGUCAAUGGGCGGAAGCCUGAACCAGCCAAGUAGCUUGCAGGAUUACGGCCCUAUGGGUUGUAAACUGCUUUUAUACAGGAAUAAAGUUAGCCACGUGUGGUUAUUUGUAGGUACUGUAUGAAUAAGGACCGGCUAAUUCCGUGCCAGCCGCCGCGGUAA
rnacentral:rRNA from 1 species